ensembl:lncRNA
AAGGUGUGAUGAAUUAGUUAAUUAUUUUUAAUCUAUUGACAGCCCUUAUGUUUUCAUUAUUGACAUUUAUUUUUAAAAAGUACAAAAAUUCAGCACAUCAAACUUAUUGAUUUCUUAAACCAAGUUGUCCCUUACUUACUUUAAAGGAAGCCGUGUAUCAAAAAUCACAAAGAAAGAUCGUAAGAAGUCUGAAUGCAUCAUUGCAACAUCAGCGAUGUUUACAGGCUGCGUUUGGUUGAAGAAGGAUCGGAACCCCACAAAGAUCUUUGUGCCAACGGAAGUUUAUAGAAAAUUAAAGCAUCGAAGGAAUCAUCUGUCUGUUCUGCAAAACAACAAACCUAAAAAAAACAGGAACCCCAGGGAUUGAUUUGGGUGCACAUUUGCUCACCUCAGGAUAGGACAAAAUAACUGAGAAAGAAACUGAAGAACAAAGUAAAAUACAACUAGAACAUUACAGAACAUUGUAAAGGCCUGCUCUCGUAUUCAAGCUUAUUUUUCAUGCACCAGACUGAUGGGGGCAAAAAGCCCAUCUGGGUCUGUCUCCAGUGCUCAUUCAUCACAGACUCUGUCUCCCCAAGCUUUCUUUUUUCUUUUUCUAUUUGCUGCAGACAGCGAUGAGAGAAAGCCGACUGUGUGAUAAGAGGGAAAAAAGGCAACAAAAAAAAAAGCAAAUAUGAAGAGCUUAAGGACAGUAUAGAGGAACGUCUCGGCUGCCGACGCAGACCCUGCAACAAGCGGAGGCGUUUCCUGAUGCCGGAGUCGGCGCCUUAAUUCAGGGGAGGCGGACCGGGGGACGCCUGGCUGUCAAAGAGGCAUGCGGCGCGGAGCCUCCCUUGAGCCCCCCCCCCCCCCCCCCCAAUACAGCCAUGAUGAAGUGGCCUCAUCCAUCUUCUCGUUGUCCCCGGUAAAGAACGGGCUCGUUCGGCCGCUGAGCCGAUGACCGCCGCAAGCUUUUUUCUCUGGAAAAGGCCGGGACCCCUGUCUCUCCGCUCCGCGGACUGAGCCCUCGGCGUCAGCAACACGAGUCGCGCGAGGGUCCAGAUGCACAGG